AGAUUGAACGCUGGCGGCAUGCCUUACACAUGCAAGUCGAGCGGCAGCGCGGGGGCAACCCUGGCGGCGAGCGGCGAACGGGUGAGUAAUGCAUCGGAACGUGUCCUCUUGUGGGGGAUAACCAGUCGAAAGACUGGCUAAUACCGCAUGAGAUCGAGAGAUGAAAGCAAGGGACCGCAAGGCCUUGCGCGAGAGGAGCGGCCGAUGCCGGAUUAGCUAGUUGGUGGGGUAACGGCCUACCAAGGCGACGAUCCGUAGCUGGUCUGAGAGGACGACCAGCCACACUGGGACUGAGACACGGCCCAGACUCCUACGGGAGGCAGCAGUGGGGAAUUUUGGACUAAGUGGGGGCAACCCUGAUCCAGCCAUGACCGCGUGUGUGAAGAAGGCCGUUCGGUUGUAAGACGUACGUUUCGGACGGAACGAACGUCGUACGG
rnacentral:rRNA from 1 species